AUAUUUUAGAUAAAAAAUAGGUUAAAAGCAAGUUUUUAAAUAAAAAAUCAAGCUUUAUUAUUUUAUAUAAUUCAAAUAAAAUCAAUUUAUUUAAUUGUUUAGAAUUAUAACUCAAGUUAUUUAACGUCUUUUUAGAAAAAAAAAAAAAAAACACUUGUAACAUAGUGCAGUACAAACAGAAGAGACAUAACCAUAGUGGCAAAAAUCUUAAAGGGUUCUAAACUUCUAAAUUAUUUCUGUUACUUUCCCUCAAUUUUCUAGACAAGCAAAAGGAGCUAAACUUAUUCCCGACCAAAACGUCAAGAAUUUCAGUAGAACAAAAGAAGAGAUUAUUACUUGACCAAAAACAAGCAGUCAUCACCCAAAGAAACCGAGUCAAUGAGAGAAAAAGAGUGAUAGCUAGAAAACAAUCAACAGAUCCAAGAAUUUUCUGUAUGGUUUCCAAGAAAAUGAAACGAAACAAAGAUAGACAAAGAUAGUUCGAGGAAGUGGGCAGCCUUUUUUCUGCUGUUCACGCAGACUAAGAACUCCUACCAUCGUAAAAUCAUAUAAUUAAAACACAACAAUAAAACGCAGCCUUUUUUCUGCUGUUCACGCAGACUAAGAACUCCUACCAUCGUAAAAUCAUAUAAUUAAAACACAACAAUAAAAAAGUAAUGAGCUGCUAAUUAUGUGCGAAAACCAGAGAAUACAGAACGUGAGAGUGAGUCAUUGUUGCAAGUAAAAGAGGCGCAGAGAGAAUGGGAAUAGGAAUUUCAUUAC
rnacentral:lncRNA from 1 species